AAUAAUCUUCGGGGCAGGGUGAAAUUCCCGACCGGUGGUAUAGUCCACGAAAGUAUUUGCUUUGAUUUGGUGAAAUUCCAAAACCGACAGUAGAGUCUGGAUGAGAGAAGAAAAGA
rfam:Fusobacterium nucleatum subsp. nucleatum ATCC 25586, complete genome.